UACAGAGGGGGCAAGCGUUGUUCGGAAUUACUGGGCGUAAAGGGCGCGUAGGCGGCCUUCUAAGUCGAACGUGAAAUCCCCGGGCUCAACCCGGGAACUGCGUCCGAGACUGGAUGGCUUGAAUCCGGGAGAGGGAUGCAGAAUUCCAGGUGUAGCGGUGAAAUGCGUAGAUAUCUGGAGGAAUACCGGUGGCGAAGGCGGCAUCCUGGACCGGCAUUGACGCUGAGGAGCGAAAGCCAGGGGAGCAAACGGG
rnacentral:rRNA from 1 species